CCUACGGGAGGCAGCAGUGAGGAAUAUUGGUCAAUGGCCGUAAGGCUGAACCAGCCAAGUCGCGUGAAGGAAGAAGGAUCUAUGGUUUGUAAACUUCUUUUAUAGGGGAAUAAAGGUAUCCACGUGUGGAUAUUUGCAUGUACCCUAUGAAUAAGCAUCGGCUAACUCCGUUCCAGCAGCCGCGGUAAUACGGAGGAUGCGAGCGUUAUCCGGAUUUAGUGGGUUUAAAGGGUGCGUAGGUUGUUUUUUAAGUCAGUGGUGAAAGUUUGUGGCUCAACCAUAAAAUUGCCGUUGAAACUGGAAGACUUGAGUGUGUUUGAGGUAGGCGGAAUGCGUGGUGUAGCGGUGAAAUGCAUAGAUAUCACGCAGAACUCCGAUUGCGAAGGCAGCUUACUAAGACAUAACUGACACUGAAGCACGAAAGCGUGGGGAUCAAACAGGAUUAGAUACCCCUGUAGUC
rnacentral:rRNA from 1 species